CUAUGGCUUAACCAUAGAACUGCUUGGGAAACUGAUAAUCUAGAGUGAGGGAGAGGCAGAUGGAAUUGGUGGUGUAGGGGUAAAAUCCGUAGAGAUCACCAGGAAUACCCAUUGCGAAGGCGAUCUGCUGGAACUCAACUGACGCUAAUGCGUGAAAGCGUGGGGAGCAAACAGGAUUAGAUACCCUGGUAGUCCACGCCCUAAACGAUGUAUACUAGUUGUUGCUAAGCUAGUCUUGGCAGUAAUGCACCUAACGGAUUAAGUAUACCGCCUGGGGAGUACGGUCGCAAGAUUAAAACUCAAAGGAAUAGACGGGGACCCGCACAAGCGGUGGAGCAUGUGGUUUAAUUCGAAGAUACGCGAAGAACCUUACCCGGACUUGAUAUCUAACAAAUCAUCUAGAGAUAGAAGAGUGUCUGCUUGCAGAAAUGUUAAGACAGGUGCUGCACGGCUGUCGUCAGCUCGUGUCGUGAGAUGUUGGGUUAAGUCCCGCAACGAGCGCAACCCACGUCAUUAGUUGCUAAACAGUUCAGCUGA
rnacentral:rRNA from 1 species